rnacentral:tRNA from 1 species
GGCGGAUGUGGCCAAGUGAUCAAGGCAGUGGAUUGUGAAUCCACCAUGCGCGAAGGGCGAAUUCGCGCCGCUAAAUUCAA